GGGAGCUUGCUCCCUGAUGUUAGCGGCGGACGGGUGAGUAACACGUGGGUAACCUGCCUGUAAGACUGGGAUAACUCCGGGAAACCGGGGCUAAUACCGGAUGGUUGUUUGAACCGCAUGGUUCAAACAUAAAAGGUGGCUUCGGCUACCACUUACAGAUGGACCCGCGGCGCAUUAGCUAGUUGGUGAGGUAACGGCUCACCAAGGCAACGAUGCGUAGCCGACCUGAGAGGGUGAUCGGCCACACUGGGACUGAGACACGGCCCAGACUCCUACGGGAGGCAGCAGUAGGGAAUCUUCCGCAAUGGACGAAAGUCUGACGGAGCAACGCCGCGUGAGUGAUGAAGGUUUUCGGAUCGUAAAGCUCUGUUGUUAGGGAAGAACAAGUACCGUUCGAAUAGGGCGGUACCUUGACGGUACCUAACCAGAAAGCCACGGCUAACUACGUGCCAGCAGCCGCGGUAAUACGUAGGUGGCAAGCGUUGUCCGGAAUUAUUGGGCGUAAAGGGCUCGCAGGCGGUUUCUUAAGUCUGAUGUGAAAGCCCCCGGCUCAACCGGGGAGGGUCAUUGGAAACUGGGGAACUUGAGUGCAGAAGAGGAGAGUGGAAUUCCACGUGUAGCGGUGAAAUGCGUAGAGAUGUGGAGGAACACCAGUGGCGAAGGCGACUCUCUGGUCUGUAACUGACGCUGAGGAGCGAAAGCGUGGGGAGCGAACAGGAUUAGAUACCCUGGUAGUCCAC
rnacentral:rRNA from 1 species